AUUUAAACAGUUUCGUGUGUUGCGGACAGCAACAGAAUUCAGAUAUGGCUACAAGAUUGUUGAAAAUGGAAACUUGAGAUCCGCACUUUCUACCUCAGAUGUAAUUGAGCUUCCAACUCAAGACCAGUUGAAGACAGUUCUCGAUAAAGUUAAAGACUUCUUUGGAGAUGCAAAGGAAUCAUUUGGCAAACUCACUGCACUAGGUUCACUUGAAGGCG
rnacentral:misc_RNA from 1 species